UUUUACCCGCUGAAUUUAAGCAUAUAAUUAAGCGGAGGAAAAGAAACUAACUAGGAUUCCCUCAGUAAGGGCGACUGAAGCGGGAAAUGCUCACCGUGUGAAUCUGUACAGACUUGUUCUGUGCCGAAUUGUGGUCUGUAGAAGCAAUGUAUGUCUCGUCUCGGGCCAAGUCCUUUGGAAAAAGGCAGCAGAGAGGGUGAGACUCCCGUUCUUGCCUGAGAUUUGUGACAAUACUCAUGCCUUCAACGAGUCGAGUUGUUUGGGAUUGCAGCUCAAAGUGGGUGGUAAAUUCCAUCUAAAGCUAAAUAUUGGUGGGAGACCGAUAGCGAACAAGUACCGUGAGGGAAAGAUGAAAAGAACUUUGAAAAGAGAGUUAAAGAGUACCUGAAAUUGCUGAAAGGGAAGCAAAGGAAACCAGUGUUAUCUUGAUUCAUCUUUCUUCUGUUGCUUGCAACAGGAGCGCUGUGAGUCAUGAUAGGUCAACCUGGGUUUGAGCCGGUGCAAACGCUUGCUACACUGACUUGGACCUACGCUGGCGAAAUGGUUUUCUUUACCCCGUCUUGAAACACGGACCAAGGA
rnacentral:rRNA from 1 species